UGGACAACGCUGGACAACGUCGGUCCAGUGUGGGUCACCAAAAGCCGCGAAAAGAAUUUUGGAUGAUCUAGACUAGACUGCAACGUGGGACAACGUGGGACGACGUGGGACGAAUUUGGGUCACCAAAAGCCGCGAAAAGAAUUUUGGAUGAUCUAGACUGGACUGCACCGUGGGACAACGUGGGACGUCGUUGGACGACUUUGGGUCACCAAAAGCCGCGAAAAGAAUUUUGGAUGAUCUAGACUGGACUGCACCGUGGGACAACGUGGGACGUCGUUGGACGACUUUGGGUCACCAAAAGCCGCGAAAAGAAUUUUGGAUGAUCUAGACUGGACUGCACCGUGGGACAACGUGGGACGUCGUUGGACGACUUUGGGUCACCAAAAGCCGCGAAAAGAAUUUUGGAUGAUCUAGACUGGACUGCACCGUGGGACAACGUGGG